rnacentral:lncRNA from 1 species
CCUUCGACCCACGGACAGGUAGCAAAUGAAACGAACCACCUCAUUGGUCGAGGUGGAACGGUACCAAGCUUUCCAUUCGUCGAGACCUGCGACGGAGCUCGGUACGAUCGGUUAGAAGAGGUCUUAGGUUUACCUGGGCCACCGAUAGCGGAUUCUCGGCUUGCCCUGUAGCGCUCACAAAGGCGGCAAAACAAUAAACGACAGUCGUGGGUAUUUGCUUGCUCUGGCCAUUGAAUUCAAGCCAAAUUUUACCUGCUCGUAUUUCUCGGAACAUGGAAGGCAUAAACUUCUUUUAUUACGGCAAGAACAUACUACAGUUAAAGUCCAAACUGUUUUCUUCGCGGAAGGUAUUUAAAUGGAGUCGGUGAAAGAAUUUGGAAGCUCCAACUUUGAAAACUGUACCCGAGAUUCUUUCGGAAUAGGAUGAAGUCAAGAUGAAGUAGUAACGUUACUGUAACGGUGCAUGUUGACGAAAAAUCGGUACUUCGCAUUUAUAGGAAAGUCCGAGAUUUGAAUUGGCUUUUCGAAUUAUGCAGAAGUGAUUUCUGAACAAAUUUUGGCAAUGAAUGGCCCACAACAGCUGCUUUAAGAAUUGAAAACAAAAUGAGGAGGAUGGUUACGAAGAAAUUCAGGUUGUCAAUUUUUCCGACGCCGUUUGAACGUUCGAUAGCAGGAUUUCGUUGGUAAAUUAUAAAUCUUUCAACUCGUUAAGCAGAGUACGUAUUGUCUGAAAAUUAAAUUUCAAACGGUACUCUUAACGAACACUUUCUCGUUAAAUUGACAGGAAACUUUAUUCGUGUAGUAUAACUUUAGACAUUCGAUACACGCAAUAUAUUCACGGAUACUCUGUACAGAUAGAUAUAUGCAUGUGUGUUGUUUGACUUUCCAACCAUAUUCUAUAAAUAAACUAUGCAAAUACUAAUUAUUUAUACGUCAUUUUCAUAAUCCUUGGGGUUCUUCCUUUGAAGGCGAGCGUGUUCCUUUUCUGCCCAGUCGUAGACCAAG